AUUGAACGCUGGCGGCAUGCCUAACACAUGCAAGUCGAGCGGAUGAAGGGAGCUUUCUCCUGUAUUCAGCUGCGGACGGGUGAGUAAUGCCUAGGAAUCUGCCUGGUAUUGGGGGAUAACGUCCGUAAACGGGCGCUAAUACCGCAUACGUCCUGAUGGAGAAAGUGGUGGAUCUUCGGACCUCGCGCUAUUAGAUGAGCCUAGGUCGGAUUAGCUAGUUGGUGGGGUAAAGGCCUACCAAGGCGACGAUCCGUAGCUGACCUGAGAGGAUGAUCAGUCACACUGGAACUGAGACACGGUCCAGACUCCUACGGGAGGCAGCAGUGGGGAAUCUUGGGCAAUGGGCGAAAGCCUGACCCAGCAAUGCCGCGUGUGUGAAGAAGGUCUUCAGAUUGUAAAGCACUUUAAGUUGGGAGGAAGGGAAGUAAGUUAAUACAUUGCUGUUUUGACGUUACCAACAGAAUAAGCACCGGCUAACUUCGU
rnacentral:rRNA from 1 species